rnacentral:rRNA from 1 species
AUUGAACGCUGGCGGCAGGCCUAACACAUGCAAGUCGAGCGGAUGAAGGGAGCUUGCUCCUGGAUUCAGCGGAGGACGGGUGAGUAAUGCCUAGGAAUCUGCCUGGUAGUGGGGGAUAACGCCCGGAAACGGGCGCUAAUACCGCAUACGUCCUGAGGGAGAAAGUGGGGGAUCUUCGGACCUCACGCUAUCAGAUGAGCCUAGGUCGGAUUAGCUAGUUGGUGGGGUAAAGGCCUACCAAGGCGACGAUCCGUAACUGGUCUGAGAGGAUGAUCAGUCACACUGGAACUGAGACACGGUCCAGACUCCUACGGGAGGCAGCAGUGGGGAAUAUUGGACAAUGGGCGAAAGCCUGAUCCAGCCAUGCCGCGUGUGUGAAGAAGGUCUUCGGAUUGUAAAGCACUUUAAGUUGGGAGGAAGGGCAGUAAGUUAAUACCUUGCUGUUUUGACGUUACCAACAGAAUAAGCACCGGCUAACUUCGUG